CAGUAGCCGCGGUAAUACGAAGGGGGCUAGCGUUGCUCGGAAUGACUGGGCGUAAAGGGCGCGUAGGCGGUUCGUACAGUUGGAUGUGAAAUUCCUGGGCUUAACCUGGGGGCUGCAUUCAAUACGUGCGGGCUUGAGUGUGGAAGAGGGUUGUGGAAUUCCCAGUGUAGAGGUGAAAUUCGUAGAUAUUGGGAAGAACACCGGUGGCGAAGGCGGCAACCUGGUCCAUAACUGACGCUGAGGCGCGAAAGCGUUGGGAGCAAACAGGAUUAGAUACCCGAGUAGUCCCUGUCUCUUAUAC
rnacentral:rRNA from 1 species